rnacentral:rRNA from 1 species
GACGUAGGGCGCGAGCGUUGUCCGGAUUUAUUGGGCGUAAAGAGCUCGUAGGCGGCUUGUCGCGUCGAAUGUGAAAACCCGAGGCUCAACUUCGGGCUUGCAUUCGAUACGGGCAGGCUCGAGUUCGGUAGGGGAGACUGGAAUUCCUGGUGUAGCGGUGAAAUGCGCAGAUAUCAGGAGGAACACCGGUGGCGAAGGCGGGUCUCUGGGCAGUAACUGACGCUGAGGAGCGAAAGCGUGGGGAGCGAACAGG